rnacentral:rRNA from 1 species
GCUUGUCUCAAAGAUUAAGCCAUGCAUGUCUUAGUGUAAAUAACUCUUAUGAAACUGCGAAUGGCUCAUUAAAUCAGUUAUCAAAUACGUGAUGGUCGCCUACUACAUGGAUAACCGUAGUAAUUCUAGAGCUAAUACAUGCACAAAGGCCCACUCACGUGGGUUGUGAUUAUUAGAUUCAAACCGGCCUCGUGCUUUUGGUGAGUCAUGAUAACUGCGCGGAUCGCAUGGCCUUGCGCCGGCGACGCUUCAUUCAAAUUUCUGCCCUAUCAACUUUCGAUGGUAAGAUAGAGGCUUACCAUGGUGUUAACGGGUAACGGGGAAUUGGGGUUCGAUUCCGGAGAGGGAGCCUGAGAAAUGGCUACCACUUCCAAGGAAGGCAGCAGG